AACGCGAAGAACCUUACCAGCCCUUGACAUCCUCGGAACUUUCCAGAAAUGGAUUGGUGCCUUCGGGAACCGAGUGACAGGUGCUGCAUGGCUGUCGUCAGCUCGUGUCGUGAGAUGUUGGGUUAAGUCCCGUAACGAGCGCAACCCUUGUCUUAGUGCCAGCACUUCGGGUGGGAACUUAAGGAGACUGCCGGUGACAAACCGGAGGAAGGUGGGGAUGACGUCCAAGUCAUCAUGGCCCUUAUGGGCAGGGCUACACACGUGCUACAAUGCCAGUACAGAGGUUGCCAACCCGCGAGGGGGAGCUAAUCCCAGAAAGCUGUCGUAGUCGCAGUCUGCAACUCGCUGCGUGAAGUCGGGAUUCGCUAGAAUUCNCGAUCAGAUGUCGCGUGAUA
rnacentral:rRNA from 1 species